AUUGAACGCUGGCGGCGUGCUUAACACAUGCAAGUCGAACGGGAAUCACUUCAUUGAGACUUCGGUGGAUUUGAUUUGAUUCUAGUGGCGGACGGGUGAGUAACGCGUGGGUAACCUGCCUUAUACAGGGGGAUAACAGUCAGAAAUGACUGCUAAUACCGCAUAAGCGCACAGGACCGCAUGGUCCGGUGUGAAAAACUCCGGUGGUAUAAGAUGGACCCGCGUUGGAUUAGCUUGUUGGUGGGGUAACGGCCUACCAAGGCGACGAUCCAUAGCCGGCCUGAGAGGGUGAGCGGCCACAUUGGGACUGAGACACGGCCCAGACUCCUACGGGAGGCAGCAGUGGGGAAUAUUGCACAAUGGGGGAAACCCUGAUGCAGCGACGCCGCGUGAAGGAAGAAGUAUCUCGGUAUGUAAACUUCUAUCAGCAGGGAAGAUAGUGACGGUACCUGACUAAGAAGCCCCGGCUAACUACGUGCCAGCAGCCGCCGUAA
rnacentral:rRNA from 1 species